UAAGAAGAUGGACAUGGGUCUGUUUAUCCCAU
rnacentral:piRNA from 1 species